AACAAAUAUGCUAACUCAAUUCAUUUUGUUGACUUUACUUAAAGUGCUAUUGUUUGUUUACCUUACUGGUGUAGAUCUAUUAAAUCUUAUUUGUGCUAGAAGUCCUAGUUACUCAAAUGUCCCUAGUUAAGGUUACAUGAUUUGUUUGAGUGCAGUGCAAUCCAUGUGACCACUGACGUCAUCAGGGUUUGGAUUGAGAAUUUUCUGAUCAACGGCCAUCUUGUUUUGUGGAAGACCUCGGCUGAUAAACAAUAAAACUGGAAAGAGAUUUUUGUGACAAUUUGCACAACAGUUUGGAGAUGUUAUCACAUCACAAAAGCCCAUGCCUGCUGGAUUAAUAUGCAUUUGAGGAGAUACCAAAGGUGAUUCCAAAGCAAUACAUACAUAUAUGAGGAAAAACAGACAACUUGGAGAAGGAAACUGAGGUUACUCUUCAACACACUGCAGUUCUCCAUGGCAUUCCUGUCCUGCUUGGGCACAACACGGAGAGCAAAGGUCUUGCGUGUUUAUUUUCAUGUUUUCUCUUGAUUCAGCUAUUGUGUUUAUUUGAUGACACAAGUUGACAUUGCAAUACAAUGUCAAAGGAGUUAGACAGUCUGAGCAAAUGUAUAUAAAAGUAUAUUAAGUGUGCGUUCUUUUUAUUGUUUUAAUCUGCUCAGGGGAUAUUAUUCCUCUCAAAUGUUCUUUUGUUGGUUUUGAUUGCUUCUAUUGUCCUCAUUUGUAAGUCAAUUUGGAUAAAUGACUAAUUGUAAAUGUACAACUCUUAACAUUUAAUUUGGGAAUUUUUUCUGAUUCAAGCCUUGUUAAUGAACAACUAUUACAAAUUACCAUGUUGAUUUAC